ACAAUCCUGAUGUGUUCGUCACAACCAACCAGUUUUGACCGAACAACAACGUAAAAGGGAGCCUGGAGUUUUUGUGUGGCGUACAUGCCUCCAACAUGUGUGGAAGUACAAAGCAUGGAACAGGGCACCCACCUGCCGGGAGCGGGUUCAAAACGUUACAGGGUGACGGCACGAUUGGGAUUGUA
rnacentral:other from 1 species